GCAGGUAUAGCUUAGUGGCAGAGUGUGUGCUUAGCAUGCUCAAGGUUCUGGCUUCAACCCUCAGCACCUCCA
rnacentral:tRNA from 1 species